AGUGGUAUAGCUGGGUCAAAUGGUAGUUCCAUUCCAAGUUUUAAAAGGAAUCUCCAUACAAUUUCCCAGAUUGGCUGUACCAAUUUGCAGUCCCACCAGCAAU
rnacentral:pre_miRNA from 1 species